GAUGAACGCUGGCGGCGUGCUUAACACAUGCAAGUCGAACGAGAAAUGGAGACGGAAACCUUCGGGCGGAAGGCUUCAUUUCGAGUGGCGGACGGGUGAGUAACGCGUGGGUAACUUCCUUCAUAAAGGGGAUUAACAGUUGGAAACGCUAUUAAUACCCCAUAAAGACACAACCACGCAAUGGUCGGGGGUAAAAAACUCCGGUGUUAUGAGAUGGACCCGCGUUCGAUUAGCCAGUUGGGGGGGUAACGGCCACCCAAAGCGACGAUCGAUAGCCGAUCUGAGAGGAUGACCGGCCACAUUGGGACUGAGACACGGCCCAAACUCCUACGGGAGGCAGCAGUGGGGAAUAUUGCACAAUGGGGGAAACCCUGAUGCAGCGACGCCGCGUGAGUGAAGAAGUACUUCGGUAUGUAAAGCUCUAUCAGCAGGGAAGAAAAUGACGGUACCUGAGUAAGAAGCCCCGGCUAACUACGUG
rnacentral:rRNA from 1 species